rnacentral:rRNA from 1 species
CUUAACUGAACCUUCGGGGAACGUUAAGGGCGGCGAGCGGCGGACGGGUGAGUAAUGCCUGGGAAUAUGCCCUGAUGUGGGGGAUAACUAUUGGAAACGAUAGCUAAUACCGCAUAAUCUCUUCGGAGCAAAGAGGGGGACCUUCGGGCCUCUCGCGUCAGGAUUAGCCCAGGUGGGAUUAGCUUGUUGGUGAGGUAAUGGCUCACCAAGGCAACGAUCCCUAGCUGGUCUGAGAGGAUGAUCAGCCACACUGGAACUGAGACACGGUCCAGACUCCUACGGGAGGCAGCAGUGGGGAAUAUUGCACAAUGGGGGAAACCCUGAUGCAGCCAUGCCGCGUGUGUGAAGAAGGCCUUCGGGUUGUAAAGCACUUUCAGUAGGGAGGAAGGUAGUGUAGUUAACACCUGCAUUAUUUGACGUUACCUACAGAAGAAGCACCGGCUAACUCCGUGCCAGCAGCCGCGGUAAUACGGAGGGUGCGAGCGUUAAUCGGAAUUACUGGGCGUAAAGCGCAUGCAGGCGGCCUGUUAAGUCAGAUGUGAAAGCCCGGGGCUUAACCUCGGAAUUGCAUUUGAAACUGGCAGGCUAGAGUCUUGUAGAGGGGGGUAGAAUUUCAGGUGUAGCGGUGAAAUGCGUAGAGAUCUGAAGGAAUACCAGUGGCGAAGGCGGCCCCCUGGACAAAGACUGACGCUCAGAUGCGAAAGCGUGGGGAGCAAACAGGAUUAGAUACCCUGGUAGUCCACGCCGUAAACGAUGCUACUUGGAAGGUUGUGGCCUUGAGCCGUGGCUUUCGGAGCUAACGCGUUAAGUAGACCGCCUGGGGAGUACGGUCGCAAGAUUAAAACUCAAAUGAAUUGACGGGGGCCCGCACAAGCGGUGGAGCAUGUGGUUUAAUUCGAUGCAACGCGAAGAACCUUACCUACUCUUGACAUCCUCAGAAGAGACUGGAGACAGUCUUGUGCCUUCGGGAACUGAGAGACAGGUGCUGCAUGGCUGUCGUCAGCUCGUGUUGUGAAAUGUUGGGUUAAGUCCCGCAACGAGCGCAACCCUUAUCCUUGUUUGCCAGCACUUCGGGUGGGAACUCCAGGGAGACUGACCGGUGAUAAACCGGAGGAAGGUGGGGACGAGGUCAAGUCAUCAUGGCCCUUCCGAGUAGGGCUACACACGUGCU